rnacentral:rRNA from 1 species
GACAGAGGGGGCAAGCGUUGCUCGGAAUCACUGGGCGUAAAGGGCGCGUAGGCGGGAUGGCAAGUCGGUCGUGAAAUCCUUCGGCUCAACCGAAGAACGUCGGCCGAUACUGCCGUUCUUGAGGGAUGCAGAGGAGAUUGGAAUUCCCGGUGUAGCGGUGAAAUGUGUAGAGAUCGGGAGGAACACCAGUGGCGAAGGCGGGUCUCUGGGCAUCUCCUGACGCUGAGGCGCGAAAGCGUGGGGAGCAAACGGG